CCCUUAGAUGUUCUGGGCCGCACGCGCGCUACACUGAUGCAUUCAACGAGUUUUACCUUGGCCGAGAGGCCUGGGCAAUCUUUUAAACCUGCAUCGUGAUAGGGAUAGAUUAUUGCAAUUAUUAAUCUUGAACGAGGAAUUCCUAGUAAACGCAAAUCAUCAAUUUGCAUUGAUUACGUCCCUGCCCUUUGUACACACCGCCCGUCGCUCCUACCGAUUGAGUGGUCCGGUGAGGCUUUGGGAUCUGAGCGGAAAGAGCGUUUCGCUGUUUCUGCUCGGAAAACUCAGUCGAACCUUAUCAUUUAGAGGAAGGAGAAGUCGUAACA
rnacentral:rRNA from 1 species